GAUCGACUAUGUUGAAUAAAAUUCUAGGUAGAAUUAUGAUAAUGACAUUGUCUGCCUAUGUGUCUUGACCAAAUUACGUGCCAGCAGUCGCGGUAAUACGUAGAAGACUAGUGUUAUUCAUGUUUAAUCGGUUUAAAGGGUACCUAGACGGUAGAUCAAGCUUUCUAAUAAAUGAAAAGGACUAAUUUACUAGAGUUACUUAUGAGGGGGUAUUAAAGUACUGCUGGUGUAGAGAUGAAAUUCUGUCAUACCUCUUUUCAAAAGAAAAACCAUGGCACAGGUAUAGGCGAAGGCAUCCCCUUAUGUGAUAACUGACGUUGAGGGACGAAGGCUUUGUGUAGCGAACAGGAUUAGAUACCCCAGUAGUCGAAGCAGAAAAUGAUGAAUGUCAUAGAUUAGAUGUAUAAGUUUAUUCUAUAAAUGAAAGUGUAAGCAUUCCACCUCAUGAGUAAUUUGGCAACAUUGGAACUGAAAUCAUUAGACCGUUUCUGAAACCAGUAGUGAAGUAUGUUGUUUAAUUUGAUGAUCCGCAAAAAACCUUACCACAAUUUGAAUAUUUAUAUUUUUUUUAUUGUUUUUUUCUUAAGAGAUAAAUAAUUAAAGAAAAAAAUCAAAAAAGGAAGAAAAUUAAGAAAGAGGCAAUAAGAUAUAUUUACAAGCGUUGCACGGCUGUCUUCAGUUAAUGUCGCGAGACUUUGGUUAGUUCCAUUAAAUUAACGUAAACCCUUACUUUAUUUUUAUAUAGAGUAGUUCCCCGCUAUAUGGAUAUGAUAACAGG
rnacentral:rRNA from 1 species